CGAUCCAGAGAACUUAGCAGAGAUGCUUUGGUGGCCUUCGGGAACUCUGAGACAGGUGCUGCAUGGCUGUCGUCAGCUCGUGUUGUGAAAUGUUGGGUUAAGUCCCGCAACGAGCGCAACCCUUAUCCUUUGUUGCCAGCGGCUCGGCCGGGAACUCAAAGGAGACUGCCGGUGAUAAACCGGAGGAAGGUGGGGAUGACGUCAAGUCAUCAUGGCCCUUACGGCCAGGGCUACACACGUGCUACAAUGGCGCAUACAAAGAGAAGCGACCUCGCGAGAGCAAGCGGACCUCACAAAGUGCGUCGUAGUCCGGAUUGGAGUCUGCAACUCGACUCCAUGAAGUCGGAAUCGCUAGUAAUCGUAGAUCAGAAUGCUACGGUGAAUACGUUCCCGGGCCUUGUACACACCGCCCGUCACACCAUGGGAGUGGGUUGCAAAAGAAGUAGGUAGCUUAACCUUCGGGAGGGCGCUUACCACUUUGUGAUUCAUGACUGGGGUGAAGUCGUAACAAGGUAGGCGUAGCGAG
rnacentral:rRNA from 1 species